rnacentral:lncRNA from 1 species
GUAAAUUUCUCUGAUUUUCCCAAGAGGAAUUAUGAUCAUGUGUACCUAGUUUUCUGUUUCAUCCUACACUGGAGCAACAAUAGCAAUUGCCAUAUUGCGCUGUCUCCCGGACAAGGAUGUGAGCUUGCUGUAAGCAGGAAUUUUGUCUUAUUUGUUUCUGAAGUUAUAGGUCUGACAUACUUCUAAGCACACAGAACCACAGUAAGGGUAUUUGGUGUAUAAAUGGAAGAACUUCUCAAAAUUCACAUGGCAUGUAUGAAACUAUAUCACAAAAGCUUUCCUUGAAACUUAAGGCUGGAGAGGAAGAAAAUCUUGGGGCCCCAUGUAGCUUGUCUCGGCCAAGUAGAAUCACUCUGAAAUAGUUGAGUCCAGACUUUAAGGUCUUUGAGGGCAACAUUGCUCUCUCCCUGGGAUUAGGAAAUUUUAGAACAUAUUAAGGAAAAUGACUCUGAACCACCCUUUCCUAUCCUCACCCCCACCAAACGCAGUCCACUUGGAGACUUUCCCUCUGCUGCAUUGGAUGACAUCGUGAAAAGCCUGCUGCUGUCUGCUUUGAGAACUCACUCUGUGCUGGGGCAGUCCUCCAACAGUUUCCCUGUGUUCCUGGUGAAACAUUUUCCUGUUUUUUGCUGCACUAAGAGCUGUAUUCCUCACCAGGGUUUCUUGGCUCCUCUGAAGGUCUGGAAUAAUUGACACCUGACGUUAUGGCGCAGGGGAAGUGACCUAGAAGUGGAUACUUACAAAUGGACAGCUCUCGAAAGAAAUCACUUACAGAAUCCCUGCAAAUUCAUGGAUCCCAGACUCCAAAUACUUGAGUAAGAUUCCAGUCCUAUUUCCCUUAACCUAAACUUUACUCAGGGUUCCAUGACACUGCCGUUAUUGUACUAUAAAGUUGAAAGCUACUAUGAAGGAAAAAAGAAGUGGCUUAUUCUAAGAGAGCAUGUCAUUAGUCUUAAAUAGAAGGGAAUAAAGAAGUUUAGAGAACAUGAUAUGGGUACA